rnacentral:rRNA from 1 species
UCAAUAUAAAUUGAUUAUAAUAUUUAUUUAUUAAUGUUAUAUAUAUAUAUAUAUAUAUAUACAUAUUAUUUAUUAUUAUUAAAAAUAAUUAUAUUUAGAAUUAGUUUUAGUGAUUUUUAAUGAAAAAAUAAUAUUUAUGUUAGUUAAUUAGNACUGUAAGGGGUAAUUGAAAUAUUUUGAAAAAUUUUUAUUGUAUUAGAAAAUUUAGUUUAUUGUACCUUGUGUAUCAGGGUGUAUCAAAUAUAUAAUAGUUAUUUAUUAUUCUCGAUUUUAUAAGAGUUAAUAAGUUAUAAAAGUUAAUGUAGCAAAAUUAUUUUUUAUAAUUUAUUGGAAAUGAAAUGUUAUUGUUUAUAAUGGUAUCUAGUUUUUUUAGAAAUAAAUUUAAUUUAUAAAUAUUUAAUUUUUUGUUUGCUUUUUAAAUAAAAAAAAAUUAUUUAUUUAAAUAUUUUAAGGGAUUAGCUUUAAAAUAAAUUGUUAAAAAUUUUUAAUGUGAAUGUUAUUGUAUAGGUGUAGAAUUAGCCUUUAUUAGUAAGUUUAUUAUAAAUUAUUAUUAAAUUUAUAAUAUUUAUUUUAUUUUAAUUAUUUAUAAAAAUUUUUAUACUAAUUGUUAGGUAAAGUAAUAAUGGUAUAAUUAGUAUAUAUUAUUGUCAGUUUUAUUUGAAGGAUAAGUUUUAUUAAGGAAUUCGGCAAAUUUAUUUAAUUUAUUUAUAUAUAUAUAUAUAUAAAUAAAUAAUAUUUAUACUCGCCGUUUAACAAAACCAUGUCCUUUUGGGUUAAUUUUAAGGUCUAGCCUGCCCAAUGAUUUAAAUUGAAUGGCCGCAGUAUUUUAACUGUGCAAAGGUAGCAUAAUCAUUAGUCUUUUAAUUGAAGGAUGGAAUGAAUGGUUGGACGAAGUAUAAACUGUCUCAUAUAAAUUUAUAAUAGAAUUUUAUUUUUUAGUAAAAAAGCUAAAAUAAUAUUAAAAGACGAGAAGACCCUAUAAAGCUUUAUAUUUAUAAUAAUUUUAAUUGGUAAGUUAAUAAAUAAUAAUAAAUGUUUAAUGGGGGUGAUAUUAAAAUUUAAUAAACUUUUAAUUUUUUUUUAUCAAUGAUUUUUGAAAUUUUGAUCUGUUAGGUAGCAAUUAUUAGAUUAAGUUACUUUAGGGAUAACAGCGUAAUUUUUUUGGAGAGUUCAUAUCGAUAAAAAAGAUUGCGCCCUCGAUGUUGGAUUAAGAAUUAUUAUAGGUGUAGUGGUUUAUAAAAUAAGUCUGUUCGACUUU